CCUACGGGAGGCAGCAGUGGGGAAUAUUGGGCAAUGGACGCAAGUCUGACCCAGCAACGCCGCGUGAAGGAAGAAGGCUCUCGGGUUGUAAACCUCUUUUAAGGGGGAAGAGCAGAAGACGGUACCUCUUGAAUAAGCCACGGCUAACUACGUGCCAGCAGCCGCGGUCAUACGAAGGUGGCAAGUGUUGUCCGGAUUUACUGGGUGUAAAGGGCGUGUAGCCGGGAAGACAAGUCAGAUGUGAAAUCCCGCGGCUCAACCGCGGAACUGCAUUUGAAACUGGCUGUCUUGAGUAUCGGAGAGGUAAUCGGAAUUCGUGGUGUAGCGGUGAAAUGCGUAGAUAUUAGGAAGAACACCAGUGGCGAAGGCGGAUUACUGGACGACAACUGACGGUGAGGCGCGAAAGCGUGGGGAGCAAACAGGAUUAGAUACCCUUGUAGUC
rnacentral:rRNA from 1 species